rnacentral:lncRNA from 1 species
AUUUAACCAUGUUUGGAUAUCAACCGUCAGUAUCGAUAGAUCAUUGGUCAAUACCAACAGUUAAUGUCAAUUUUUCUUCACAGUUCACUUAGUCCAUGCAUGAUUUCAAUUCAUUAAAUGUUACAUGUGGUACAUUAUGUUUAACAUUAUAAUGUAACCCCAUAAUUUUUCUGCAUCUUUCAGGACAGAUGGAGUACGAAUUCCUCAUUCCGAAAGAUACACGAUUGCGGGCCCACAUUUUCUAGGGAAAUAACCUCAAGUAUGUCAAGACGAUGAUGGAGCAUUUUAACGAGUGCCAACGUGAGGACUUCCGUAACUCAUAGCUGGGGUUCUGGUCCACGUUCUUCACAUACGAUUCUCCGCCUUGCUAAUUCAAUAGCUAAUGUUCAUAACCAUCCGCACUGAUAAGGUGAACGAGUUGUGGUUUAAUGUGUAAGGCCAAAUGAUAAGGUUCAAUCUGCAGGAGUAAGCUAUUGUGAUGGGGUUAAGAUGCGGGUCUUCUAGGAGGGUGAUCAAUUGGCUCGAGUGCUAGAGAGAAGGAGAUUAAAAGAGAGGUACUUCAAAUCCAUUGACAAGAUUUCAUGUGCAUAACUCUAGACUACUUUUUUCGACCUUCGACGACCCUAGCUGAUCGCUAUAAGCUUGGGAUGUUCUAAUUAUUGAAGGAGUUUUCAAUGCUCCGGAUAAUAAUGUCGGUAUUGGUUUGAACACACUAUUAAUUUGGACGACCUUGACUUAUUUUUUGACUAUAUUUGGGGUAGAGUUGGAUACAGAUGUAUGUUGAAGGGAUUCUAGGGUGAUUGGGAAAGAAAAUUUCGCGACGUCAAGAGGAAGAAGGAGAAGGAGAUCACUUACAUGGUCAUGGCUUCCCCAUUGCUAUGCAGGUAUGAAUAUUUGUUUUUAUUCUAGCAUGCCUGAUUUUUCACAACUACAUUUUCCUGCCUCCAAUUUCAUUAAUUCUAAAUUUUUUUUCUUGCAAUAGGUAUGAGCGUACGAGGCGCUUCUGGAGAUUGGGAAAUGUUUCGAUCAGUGACUCGGUGAACGAAUGCCAUGACUUCUUAGCUGGCUGACAAGAAAACAGCCAUAGCAUCACACAUAUGAGGCAUUCUUCAUAAAUGUACAUGUACAAUCUGGUGGCUUUUUUUUUUCAUAAUGAACGUUUCUUUUCAUGCGUACCUUCUCAUCUGACCCUCGUAACCUUAUUUUGUAGCUGCACAUUUACGCAACACUGCCUCCUACUGAUGUUGAAUGUGAGCAAGCCUAUGUGUCUACUUUUGUGCCAUACGAUGAUCCUCCUAUGCUCGUGCUAAAUGACAUUGCCAGGACCAUUACGGCACCAUAGUUUAAUGCAUUGCGUGUCAGCAGUGGAGGUGGUGGAUAGCCGUCUAUGUAGGAUACCGACGACGGAGAGUCCAAUGGAAGAAGUGGUGAGGACGAGACGUCUAGACCUGAUGAUGGAGAUGGACGGUCAGGCAGUGAUCAAGACAGUAAGGAUACUAAAGACAGUGACGACGACCAUGGUGAUCGAUUGAAUGAUGGUGAUGAUACCACGGAGGGCAAACGAGUGUGUCUUCCAUGCCUUGCAAGCCAGGAGUUUCUUCUCUAGUGCAUAGGCAGUCACAUAUACACAAUCAGUUGGAACAUUUGGAAUAAGAAUGAAAAGAGGAAAAGUUGAGUAGCUGCUGUUGGACCAAAGAAUCUUCAUUGAAAUGCAACUUUGGACUGUGAAGCUUUAAAUCUUCCAACACGUAACCUCUGAAUUUACAAGACUCUGGGAGUUCAUAGCUACCCUUGUGCCUCCAUCCAGUCGGAACACCACUGCAUCUGCGAUGAAUGCUGAGAUCGAGGCCGGAGUUUCAGAUAAUUUACCACGAGGUAUGUGUAUUACGUGUGUAAACCUUCUGCUUCUUAAAUGUUACCUAGGUUGAGCAAAACUUAUUCUACCUGUUGCUCUCAUUUUUGUUCUUGUUUCAAUUGUGAUGUAGAAGUACAUGGAUGAGUUAUGGAGCCAUGCUUGAACGAGCAGAAGAUGUCAGUGCCUACUGGAACCGAAUAUCUGCAAGAUAUGUGGGUUAUUUAUGAGCAAAUCGAAAAUUAUUGUUUCACGUACAUAUGUUAGUUAAUGCCUAGCGUUGUUUGUCACACUUGUAGAUUACAUUGUUUAAUAAUGCUCCUUCUCAUUUUCAAUGUACGAAGAACUUGAAGAAAUGCACACAAAUUAUCAUGCUAUGGAAUAUUGAAAUGACUUUUUUUCAUUUUAUUUGUCCCUUUUUUCAAUACAAAAACUCCCACAAUAUAGCAACCUCAAGUAUAAUGGAGGCAGAAAGGAGCUUCAUUUCUUCACCUACACAAUUUUUUUCAAGGACCCAUAUCAGAAAUUGUACUUUCUCUUCUUUUUCUUCAAGUACGUUAAUUGAGUUCUCC